AUUGAACGCUGGCGGCAUGCCUUACACAUGCAAGUCGAACGGUAACAGGUCUUCGGAUGCUGACGAGUGGCGAACGGGUGAGUAAUGCAUCGGAACGUGCACAGUAGUGGGGGAUCGCCCGGCGAAAGCCGGAUUAAUACCGCAUACGACCUGAGGGAGAAAGGGGGGGAUCGCAAGACCUCUCGCUAUUGGAGCGGCCGAUGUCAGAUUAGCUAGUUGGUGGGGUAAAGGCCUACCAAGGCAACGAUCUGUAGUUGGUCUGAGAGGACGACCAGCCACACUGGGACUGAGACACGGCCCAGACUCCUACGGGAGGCAGCAGUGGGGAAUUUUGGACAAUGGGCGCAAGCCUGAUCCAGCAAUGCCGCGUGCAGGAAGAAGGCCUUCGGGUUGUAAACUGCUUUUGUCAGGGAAGAAAUCUUCUGGGUUAAUACCUCGGGAGGAUGACGGUACCUGAAGAAUAAGCACCGGCUAACUACGUGCCAGCCGCCGCAGUAACAC
rnacentral:rRNA from 1 species